rnacentral:lncRNA from 1 species
GUAAAAUAGUUCAGUCACCCCUGUGAAUCUGAGCAAUUACUUCUAUUAAAUGUAAGGAAACCAUUAGGUGGCCUCAGGAAGAAGUUUUAGUGAUGCCUCCUGACCUGGUUUGGGUAAUAUUGGUUCUGAGACUUGUAUGACUCACCUUAAUCUCAGCCGAGCUUGAAGCAUGCCCAGAUGAGUGAUCUAUGCUAUAUGGGAUCAGCUGACUCAGGUAAAUCUCAUCUUUCAUUUGGACCUCAGAUAGUGUUGAGUUUUGUCCAAGUUGGGGAGAAAGCAAUUAGCUCCAUUUCCAUAUAAAAACCAUUUUUAUGUAGAUAGAAAACUUGGAUCAUGAAUUACCCAAGAAAGUAUAAGUUAGAACUUCCAGUAUUAAAUUGUAUUUAGUUUGAGUACCUUUGUGGUGAGCCAAAUCAAGAAACUUGGGCAAAACCAUUUACUCAUUUCAACCCUGUUCUUCUCUUCCCCACCCCUAUGUAGCUCAAGAAGAUUGGCGCUAUGAAAAGAGACUUCUUUGAACAGAUUUUUAGGUUGCCCUUUAUCUGUGCUCCAUCCUUUGUGGCAUUGAAGUGUGACACUGUCUAUCAGCUCCUCUCCUCCUGGGUCCAGCUAGCAUUAGCUCUUCAGUGA